rnacentral:rRNA from 1 species
GACGAACGCUGGCGGCGUGCUUAACACAUGCAAGUCGAACGGAAAGGCCCUGCUUUUGUUGGGUGCUCGAGUGGCGAACGGGUGAGUAACACGUGAGUAACCUCCCCUUGACUUUGGGAUAACUUCAGGAAACUGGGGCUCAUACCGGAUAGGAGCUCCUGCUGCAUGGUGGGGGUUGGAAAGUUUCGGCGGUUGGGGAUGGUCUCGCGGCUUAUCAGCUUGUUGGUGGGGUAGUGGCUUACCAAGGCUUUGACGGGUAGCCGGCCUGAGAGGGUUACCGGCCACAUUGGGACUGAGAUACGGCCCAGACUCCUACGGGAGGCAGCAGGGGGGAAUAUUGCGGAAUGGGCGGAAGCCUGAUGCAGCAACGCCGCGUGCGGGAUGACGGCCUUCGGGUGGUAAACCGAUUUCGCCUGUGACGAAGCGUGAGUGACGGUAAUGGGUAAAGAAGCACCGGCUAACUACGUG